UACAGAGGUCCCAAGCGUUGUUCGGAUUCAUUGGGCGUAAAGGGUGCGUAGGCGGCGCGGUAAGUCGGGUGUGAAAUCUCGGGGCUUAACUCCGAAACUGCAUUCGAUACUGCCGUGCUUGAGGACUGGAGAGGAGACUGGAAUUUACGGUGUAGCGGUGAAAUGCGUAGAUAUCGUAAGGAACACCGGUGGCGAAGGCGGUCUGCUGGGCCGUUGCUGACGCUGAGGCGCGACAGCGUGGGGAGCAAACAGG
rnacentral:rRNA from 1 species